AUUGAACGCUGGCGGCAUGCCUUACACAUGCAAGUCGAACGGUAACAGGGAGCUUGCUCCGCUGACGAGUGGCGAACGGGUGAGUAAUGUAUCGGAACGUACCAUUCAGUGGGGGAUAACGUAGCGAAAGUUACGCUAAUACCGCAUAUUCUGUGAGCAGGAAAGCAGGGGAUCGCAAGACCUUGCGCUGAUUGAGCGGCCGAUAUCAGAUUAGCUAGUUGGUGAGGUAAAGGCUCACCAAGGCGACGAUCUGUAGCGGGUCUGAGAGGAUGAUCCGCCACACUGGAACUGAGACACGGUCCAGACUCCUACGGGAGGCAGCAGUGGGGAAUUUUGGACAAUGGGGGCAACCCUGAUCCAGCCAUGCCGCGUGAGUGAAGAAGGCCUGCGGGUUGUAAAGCACUUUCAGUGGGGAGGAAAAGCCUGGGGUGAAUAUCCCUGGGUCUUGACGUUACCUACAGAAGAAGCACCGGCUAACUCCGUG
rnacentral:rRNA from 1 species